UUGAAAAAAGCAUUUACUCUAGUUUCACACAUUAGUAAAAAUAACAUUUUACUAAUGCGAUAUGAUUGAUUCAUUUAUCGUCAAUGUACCAGACAUUUAAAGAGCUUUAAAAAUGCUGUACAGUUUGAAACUGCAGCAACAAUUUUUUAUUCAACUUUAGAGUUUAAUGUUUACAUAAACACCAACAGUGCUGCAAAUGAUAGUAAAGUUUAUUCUUAUAAAUUUGUAGUUACACAGUUUAUUUAAUUAUCUAGACUGCAGGCAAUAAUAGACACAUACAAUAACACACGAAGAUUUAAGACAACAGCGUAAAGUGAACGACGCUAUACGAUGGGUCGGAUAUAAAAAAGGAAUGGAAAACGAUGCAGACAGAAUGAAUAAAUUACAAAUAUUUGAAUUACAUAUAUUAAAUGCUGUGACUAUUAAAA